CGCGCACACCACAGGACCCGACAGGGUGGGGCAGAAUCCUGUAGCAGUCCUGUGGCUUGUCUCUGCUCUGUGAAACAGGGCACACACGAACCUUGGGUAUAGCUGGAGAAAAGACCUUGAUCCUCAGCUGAAGAAAUUGCACUGAACCAGUGAGAUGGGGGCUGUGUCCCCAGACAUUGCCCCCACUCUUGACAAAUAGAGCACCCAAAGAAUGGGUGCCUUCCAUGUGGAUAUUAAGUCCCCUGAAAAGCUUCUUGGAGGACAUCAGAUUUAAAUGAAUAGAAGUGGGCCCCUGAAUGGCUGAGUGAAGAGGAGGGGGCCGCAGAGCAGUUCAAGCCACUUCCAAGAUGGAGAAGGCAUGGGAACCCACGAUGGCAGUGGAGUAAAAGACAACCCCUCCCUUCAAGACAGGUUCCUCCAGUUUGCAAAGCGAGGCCAUAGAACUGGUCUGGAGGAGAAGGGAAUGACUUAGAGCGUCAAAUGUGAAAAGUCUGGUCUCUGAGUCACUGCAUGGAGGACGUCUGCCUGGGAAAUACAAAAUGAAAUCUGCAAUGAAACACUAACACCCACCCACCAGGAUAGCUAAAAUUAAAGACUGAUACCAAGUGCUGGCAAGAAAGUGGAGCAAUGGGGCUUCUCGUGCCUUGUGGCCCCGGUGACUACCUAGAGAAUGGAGAAUUCUCCUGAUAGAAUCAGCUGGUGGAAUAUGACUCAGCAACAAAAGAGGCCAACUACCAAACACGAGCCACAACAUGAAUGAAUGUCCUAUGUGACUUAAAGAGGCACAGAGUCAACUCUACCCUGAGUCAAUUUCUGUGAAGACCCGAAACAAAUGAAACUAAUGUGGGGCGACAAGAUUAGAGCAACCUGGAAGGAGGAACGUUCUGGAGAGUUCGUAAUGUCUCUUGAUAGGAGUUUCAGUGACAUGGGUACAGGUGUCUGUUGCCUAAUGUGGAAAUAAGGUCUGUGCACUUCUUGUAUGUGAUUUUUAACCUUAGAAACAGUCUACAGAAAGGACUGGGGUUUGGUUCAGUGGCGGGGUGUUAGGAUAUGCCAGGCCCUGGGCUCUUUCCACACACGCAUACAUACUGCCAUUGAACUCCAGCGGUGUGUGUCGUGAAGUGAUUAGAAACAACAUACAUUGAUGUCUGUAACUUUCUUUGAAACACAUUCUCCCCACCCCCACACACAUAAUAAAUCAAUACUAAUUUUUAAAGGAGAAAAAAGGUACAAGGGAACUCCAAAGAUGGUCCUUCUCCUCUUCCAUCCCCAGCGUCUGUCCGAACUGGUUCAUUUCAUCCACCUGGACCACCUUUCAGACUCUCCCUCAACCCCAUAUAGACAUCCAACUAAUGGCCACUCUGCUCUCUCUUCCUCCACCCACUUCAGCCACGGUCCCAAAGAGCUGCACAACCAGCCUGGCCUGCCCACCUUCAGGCCAUUAGAAACAAGCUCAAUCUUAUUUCUGUGCUGCAGAUGACUUGAAGGCAAUACCUGGGAUCUGUUUGCCUCAAAGUGCUUGGCGGAACACAGAUUCUACAUAAAUUCUCGCAGGAGUGAGGGCACUCGAUGACAGCCAGAGGCACAGACACAGAAAACAGAAGACGCAGCCUGAGCGCCAGCCUGGAUAAGAAGGAGUUCACAACCCAGGCCUGGGCCGUGGCGGCGCACACCUUUAAUCCCAGCAUGCAGGAGGCAGAGGCAGGCGGAUCUCUGUGAGUUCAAGGCCAGCCUGGUCUACAGAGCAGUUUCACACAGCCCAGGCUACACAGAGAAACCCUGUCUCAAAAGAAAAAAAAAAAGAUACAAUCCAUAUUCCAUUCAGUUCACACAUUGAAAGUAUUCAGUAGGGACUGAGGAGAUGGCUUGGUGGGUAAAGUGGUUGCUGUGUAAACAUGAGAACCUGAGUUUGGAUCCCCAGAACUCACAUGCUCCUAUAAUCCCAACUCUGGGACAUGGAGAUGGGAGCACCCCUAGGGCUUUCUGGCCAGUCAUUCUAGCCUAUCAGAGACUCCAGGUUCAGUGAGAGACUCUGCCCUUAAACAUAAGGAAGAAUGCAAUAGAAGACACUGACAUUGACCUCUGACCUCCACAUGUGCAAGUGCUCUCCCAUACACAGGUGCAUACACAGCAGAGCAUACUAUAGAACGUCUUUAGUAUAGUAACAGAUUGUAAAUCACUCCUGAAGUCAAUCUGAUUUAUGCAUUUAUUUUAGGCAGAGUUCAGACCUAGGCUAGGCCCUGAAACCUUAUGGUGAUGACAAGAUUCCUAUCACCCGGCAUCCAUCCCCUAUGUGCCAGGAUUUAGGUUAUACAUAACCACAUUUAGCCCUGUGAUCAAUUUUUAGAAUAAUUUUAUUAUGUCAAAAAGAAAUCUUUACCAGGGUGUGGCAGCUCACAUCAUUAAUCCCAGCACUUGGGAAGCUGAGGCAGGAAGAGAGUCACAAGUCUGAGGCUAGGUAGUCUUAGGCUAUAUAGUGAGUUCAAGGCCAGCCUGUGCUAUAUAUCAAGACUUCUGUCCCAGGAGAGGAAGUGGAAGAGGAGGAAGAUGAAGAAGAAAUAAUUCAUUGUAUAUACUUUAUAUAAAUGGAAUUAGAAACUGAGUCUCAUCGCUCAGGUUUAUUAAACACAGCUACUCAAAAGUCUUAGGCAGAAGAAUGCAACGUUCAAGGCCUGACUAAGUGGCAUGUGAGUUCUAGGCCACCCAGGCCAACUUAGUAAGACUCUGUCUCAAAAUGAAAAAUGGAAUGGGUUGUAGUUCAGUGGUAGGAUGUAUGAGGUUCUAGAAUGUAUGCAGUUUUAUUUGGUACCAGGGAUUAUAAAUAGGGCUGGGGGAUACAGCUUCGUGGUAGAGUACUUGGCCAGUGUCUCACUUACUUUUCUAACCCUGUGACAAAAUGCCAUGACCAAGGCAACUUAUAAAAGAAAGAGUUUGAGUUUACAGUUUCAGAGGCCUAGAAUCCAUGAUGACAGAGCACAGCCAUGGCAACAAGAACAGCUAAGUGCUCACAUCUUCCCACGUGUAGGAGAUAAAGAGAGAACACUGGAAACGCCCAAGUCUAAUGCCCUAGUGAAGCCACACCUCCUCCAAUAAGGCCACACCUCCUCCAACAAAGCCACACCUCCUAAUCCUUCCCAAACAGUUCCACCAACAGGGACCAAGCAAGUAUUCAAACAUCUGAGCCUAUGGGAGUCAUUCUCAUUCAAACCAUCACAACCAGCAUGUGCAAGGCCCUGAGUUCAUUCUCCAGCACACAGCAUACACAAACAGGAUUCUCUGGUAAUAGGAUACAUGGUCUUCUUGCUUAGCAAGUUUUCAAGGUUCAUGGGGGGCUGGGUCAGGUCAGUACUUCACUCAUUUUUAUUGCUGAAUAAGAGUCCAUUGUACACAUACAUUGUUUUUAUUUGCCAUCCAUCAGUUGAUAGAUAUUUAGGAUAGUUUGAAUAAUAUACUUCUGUAAACAUUCUUGUAGGAGUGUUUGUAUUGUGUAUGUUUUUAAUUUUCCUAAAUACACACCUCUGGGUGGAGUUCCUGGGUCACAUGGUAACCCUGAUCAGGGUAGUUUGGGAUUUUAAGUAUAUAUCUGGGCUAGUGAAAUGGCUUCCCUAAUGGGCCUCCACAGAGCCCUGAUCAAGGCUACUGUAGUAUUCCUCUCUUUGAAGAGGUAACUGUACAAUCACAGGAGAUGGACUGAAAUUGGGAAAUAGAUGUAGCCCGUUUUUACCAUAGAAAUACAGAGAGAUUAUGUUCUCAGGCAGCUGCAUCUUUUUUUAUUCCCAUAUCACCAACAGCUGUUACUGUCUGCUGGGAUCCCAUUACAGUUUUGAUUUGGAUUUCAGUGAGAGCUGGGUGAUGUUGUGCCUUGUCAUGUGCUUAUU